rnacentral:rRNA from 1 species
GAUGAACGCUGGCGGCGUGCUUAACACAUGCGAGUCGAACGAAGCAUUUGCGACAGAUUUUUUCGGAAUGAAGUUGCUUAUGACUGAGUGGCGGACGGGUGAGUAACGCGUGGGUAACCUGCCUUGUACUGGUGGAUAGCAGCUGGAAACGGCUGGUAAUACCGCAUAAGCGCACAAUGUUGCAUGACAUGGUGUGAAAAACUCCGGUGGUAUAAGAUGGACCCGCGUCUGAUUAGCUAGUUGGUGAGAUAACAGCCCACCAAGGCGACGAUCAGUAGCCGACCUGAGAGGGUGACCGGCCACAUUGGGACUGAGACACGGCCCAGACUCCUACGGGAGGCAGCAGUGGGGAAUAUUGCACAAUGGAGGAAACUCUGAUGCAGCGACGCCGCGUGAGUGAAGAAGUAAUUCGUUAUGUAAAGCUCUAUCAGCAGGGAAGAUAGUGACGGUACCUGACUAAGAAGCUCCGGCUAAAUACGUG